GGAGGGCAGUUCUGCAGGAAACCUGCAUUCCUGGAAAGGCAGGUUGGGCUGGGACAUGCCUGUGCUCUUGCUGUGCCCACUUCUUUGGACCCCAAACGUUUGUUAAACGUCUUUCCUUUGGGAGUCAGUCAGCAACUGAAGACAAAUUUGCAGAGCAGUUCCCAGCUGACCUGCAAGCAGUUUUCAUUUCAAAUUCCAUCAACUCCUGACAAUGCUCCUCUGCUCAGCAAGGAAAACCAGGAUUGUUUGGACCAGCAGUUCCGCAGGAAAACAAAGCCAGGGCUUUGGGUGGUUCAAUUGAACGUCCUGGGGAAGACGCAUUACUGCCCCGAAAGAUUAAAUGGGAUAUUAUGAAGACAUCGUCUUUCAACAGCCCAAAAAGAAGGCUUGAUGGAUAUUGAAGCCAAGAGAAAAACAGCAUCAUUAAGCAGAAAAGAAGCAAGCAACACUGCACAAGUUUUUAGCAAUUAUUACAUUCAUGUUUGUUAGAUGUAAAUUAAAACUCAUGCUAAAUGCAGACACAAAACUAUGCUUUUCAAGGGGGUUUUGCAUUUUAGAUGCCAUGGG
rnacentral:lncRNA from 14 species